rnacentral:rRNA from 1 species
AUACGUAGGGAGCGAGCGUUGUCCGGAAUUACUGGGCGUAAAGGGCGCGUAGGCGGCGCUUCAAGUCGUCUGUCAAAUGGGAGGGCUUAACCCUUUUUCGCAGACGAAACUGGAGAGCUUGAGAAGCAGAGAGGCAAACAGAAUUCCUGGUGUAGCGGUGAAAUGCGUAGGUAUCAGGAAGAAUACCAGUGGCGAAGGCGGUUUGCUGGCUGCAUACUGACGCUGAAGCGCGAAAGCCAGGGGAGCAAACGGGAUUAGAUACCCCGGUAGUCCUGGCAGUAAACGAUGUAUGCUGGGUGUGAGACUAGCGAUAGUUUCGUGCCGAAGUUAACGCGAUAAGCAUACCGCCUGGGGAGUACGGUCGCAAGAUUGAAACUCAAAGGAAUUGACGGGG